AGAUUCAACUGCUGGACACCAGCAAGAGUCGGUGCACCCGUCCUGUGCUCCGGCAGCAGCUCACCCUGCAGCUCCCAGAGGUGGUGGGCGCUGGGCAGUGCAUCUGACGAAAUUGCUCUGAGAUAGAAGCACUGAGAAAGGUUGGAGUCUGGAGCAAAGCGGCUGCGGUUGGUUCCCUGCCUUGUGCCUUGGCAGAGUUUGUGCAGGCAUUGCUCAAGUUUGAACAUUUUUUGGCUGCAGUUGUGACAGCAUGAAACAAACUUUCUUAAAUCCAUCAGGUCCACAGAGCAAGAGAGCUCAAAAAGAAAGCAACUGGUGCUGGAAAACAAGCUCUGCUUAGUCCUGUGUCUGCCCGUGGAGCUGGAGGAAGGCAGCAGCUCCUCUGCUGGGCUGUGCAUCUCCUUCUGGCCAUCUGUUCUGGUGCUACAGCCACAUCACAUCCCCUUCAGAGCGCUGGGGGUUUAUUUGUAGGAACACCAAAAAGAGAAUUACUAUUAAAAGCGCUGAGGCAGCGGAUCUCUUC
ensembl:lncRNA